GUAGUAUAUGCUUUCUGGUGGACACUAAUAUGGAACACAAAGAUCUUCUCACAUUGCAGCUGCUCCCAUAUAUCCAUUGAUAUAUGCCUCUAACUCCAGACCUUUUUGUCCUUAAUCUUCUAAUCCGGUUAUCUCUUUUCCUUUAGUGCAAUUUUUCCUUAUUUGUUUGUUUUGUUUUUUUUUUUAAGUAAAUAGCUAGGCUUCUAAGCCCUACCACAGAGAGUCAACAGACAAACUGCCCAGGGAAAAGUUAUGACCUCAGGCAAAGUGAAUUUCUACAGCUAAGGCAGAUCCUGAAGAAGCUCACAAAUAAAGGCUGCAUACUCACACAUUCCCUGAAGCUUGACAGUUGAAAUUGAAGAUACAUAUGCUACUCUUCGCCAACAUCCUAGCCUAGUGCACUGCAACCUCAAGAAAGAGAUUUGAUUUACAAUACCAUAUUAUUAACUAUAGUCACCCCACUGUGCAACAGAACACCAGAACUUAUUCUAAUUGUAAUUUGGAAUAUCUCUGCAUAGCUAGAAGACAGAAAUUUGAAUGUUCCCACCACACACACAAAAAUAAAUGUUUGAGGUGAUUAAUAUGCUAA
rnacentral:lncRNA from 1 species